rnacentral:rRNA from 1 species
UCAAGUGACUAAGAGCAUAUGGUGGAUGCCUUGGCGAUGAUAGGCGACGAAAGACGUGAUAGCCUGCGAUAAGCUUCGGGGAGCUGGCAAAUAAGCUUUGAUCCGGAGAUUUCUGAAUGGGGGAACCCACCUCACAAGAGGUAUCGUGCACUGAAUACAUAGGUGCACGAAGCGAACCUGGAGAACUGAAACAUCUAAGUACCCAGAGGAAAAGACAUCAACCGAGAUUCCGAUAGUAGUGGCGAGCGAAUUCGGAAGAGCCUUGCAGUGAUAGUCGAUCAGUUAACAAAACGGCAUGGAAAGGCCGACCAUAGUGGGUGAUAGUCCCGUAUGUGAAAACCGAUCGGUGGUACUAGGCUGCAGACAAGUAGGGCGGGGCACGAGAAACCCUGUCUGAAUAUGGGGGGACCAUCCUCCAAGGCUAAAUACUCAUCAUCGACCGAUAGUGAACCAGUACCGUGAGGGAAAGGCGAAAAGAACCCCGGGAGGGGAGUGAAAUAGAUCCUGAAACCGUAUGCUUACAAAAAGUCGGAGCCCUUAGGGGUGACGGCGUACCUUUUGUAUAAUGGGUCAGCGACUUACAUUCAGUGGCAAGCUUAACCGAAUAGGGGAGGCGAAGAGAAAUCGAGUCCGAAUAGGGCGAUUAGUCGCUGGGUGUAGACCCGAAACCAAGUGAUCUAUCCAUGGCCAGGAUGAAGGUGCCGUAACAGGUACUGGAGGUCCGAACCCACUAAUGUUGCAAAAUUAGGGAUGAGCUGUGGAUAGGGGUGAAAGGCUAAACAAACUUGGAAAUAGCUGGUUCUCUCCGAAAACUAUUUAGGUAGUGCCUCAAGUAUUACCGUCGGGGUAGAGCACUGUUUAGGCUAGGGGGUCAUGGCGACUUACCAAACCUAUGCAAACUCCGAAUACCGACGAGUACAGCUUGGGAGACAGAGCACCGGGUGCUAACGUCCGGACUCAAGAGGGAAACAACCCAGACCGCCAGCUAAGGUCCCUAAAAUUGGCUAAGUGGGAAACGAAGUGGGAAGGCUAAAACAGUCAGGAUGUUGGCUUAGAAGCAGCCAUCAUUUAAAGAAAGCGUAAUAGCUCACUGAUCGAGUCGUCCUGCGCGGAAGAUGUAACGGGGCUAAGCCAGUUACCGAAGCUGCGGAUUUGCAAUUUAUUGCAAGUGGUAGGAGAGCGUUCUGUAAGCCUGUGAAGGUGUCUGGUAACGGAUGCUGGAGGUAUCAGAAGUGCGAAUGCUGACAUGAGUAGCGUUAAAGGGGGUGAAAAGCCCCCUCGCCGUAAGCGCAAGGUUUCCUACGCAACGUUCAUCGGCGUAGGGUGAGUCGGCCCCUAAGGCGAGGCAGAGAUGCGUAGCUGAUGGGAAACAGGUCAAUAUUCCUGUACCGAUCAAUAGUGCGAUGUGGGGACGGAGAAGGUUAGCUCAGCCAACUGUUGGAAUAGUUGGUUCAAGCGUGUAGUCGUGCUCUUUAGGCAAAUCCGGAGAGCUGAGAUGAGGC